GGAGGAAUGGCAGAGUGGUUGAAUGCGGCGGUCUUGAAAACCGUUGUGCCGCAAGGCACCGUGGGUUCAAAUCCUACUUCCUCCG
rnacentral:tRNA from 1 species